AGAUACCCUAUUAUUUUUAUUGUAAAAUGUGAAACUCGAGUAUUAGUAGUUAAGGUCUUGAAACUUAAAGAAUUUGGCGGUAUUAUAGUCUAUUUAGAGGAAUCUGUUAUGUAAUCGAUAGUCCACGUUGAACCUUACUUAUAUUAUUUCUUGUAUACCGCUGUUUGAGAAUAUACUUUUAGGUUAUUUUCUUAAUAUAAUACUAAUUAAAAUUUCAGGUCAAGGUGCAGUAAUAUAUAAGUUGAAUAAUGGAUUACAAUAAAUUUUAUUUAUAUGGAUUAUUAUUGAAAUAUAAUUUGAAGGUGGAUUUAAUUGUAAUUUUUUAAAGAUUGUUAAAAUGAUUAAUAGCUCUAUGAUAUGUACACAUCGCCCGUCGCUCUCGUUAUUAAGAUGAGAUAAGU
rnacentral:rRNA from 1 species